rnacentral:rRNA from 1 species
UACAGAGGUGGCAAGCGUUGUUCGGAAUUACUGGGCGUAAAGCGCACGUAGGCGGCUUUCUAAGUCGGGGGUGAAAUCCUGGAGCUCAACUCCAGAACUGCCUUCGAUACUGGAAAGCUCGAGUCCGGGAGAGGUGAGUGGAACUGCGAGUGUAGAGGUGAAAUUCGUAGAUAUUCGCAAGAACACCAGUGGCGAAGGCGGCUCACUGGCCCGGUACUGACGCUGAGGUGCGAAAGCGUGGGGAGCAAACAGG